ACAGAAACUGAAGACGAGGGCCUCAUGCAGCAGGUCUUUGUGCACGUUUCUGAAACAAACAAGUGAACUGAUGAAUCCGAUUUUCCUGGUCACUCACCCUCUCGGCCCUGGGUCACGUCUUGCCCUCUGACCCGUCAGCCUAUCUGUGACUUGGGAGCAGGAUUUCUGUACAAAGGAUUUAAAACAUGAAAUCUUCCACAACACUGGACACAUCCUCUUAUGGAAUAGCAAGGUUCCGACAGGGGCGAUAGGGGUGCCUGACACAGAGCUCCUAAAUCCCUUGGACUUCCCAGGUGACAGGAGAGUCUUCUGUUCUAAUGAGGCACCUCUUGGUGGGCUCCUGGAUGGCCUUGGGAGGGGGCUGGUCAUCAUAAAGACCAAGCCACGAGGAACUCCCAAUGUGUAGCCAAGAUGGACAGAAGUGUGGGUACCCCAGGGACCCACUACUUGCAAUUAGCAUCUGAAGUGGGGGGUGACUGAGCCCCUAACGCUGGGGUCCCUGAUAACCGCGGCAGGGUCAGACUGAACUGAAUUACAGGAUGCCUGGCUGGUGUCUGCAGAGGACUGGCGAAUUGUUGGUGUGGAAAACCCACACAUUUGGUGCCUGAUGUGUAGUGUGGGUGGAAAUAUCCCCGGAGCGACAGGGUUGGCACAGCUGCAGACUCUAAGUGCCAGCUACUGUCACUCUCAAAGCCUCAUUUAAGCUGUCACUCAUUCAACAAGCCGCUCAUGACAGCCGGCUACCUUGCAGGUGCCAAGGGCACAGUGAGGAAGUCCUGACCCUGCCCUCCAGGAGAGGACAGCCCCUCUCCCUUCACCAUGAGCACAAAUACCUGCCUGCUCCCAGAGCUCCCCAGUCUUCAGCAGGUCGCACAGGAGGGACCUUACAAGGUGCUCCCCAUCCUGACUACAAAAGAUGUGUACAGAAGGGGCCCCAGUGGACGGCUGAAAACUCAACACGGCGUUUCUGUGAGGGGCACAGUAUGAACUCUGAGCAGACAGUGAAGGCUAACAGGUGUGCAGACUGGAACCUCCAGAGCAAUGACUAAGACACAACACAAAGACACAGAUCCGAAAAGCCAACAGAUAAAUGAAAUGCUCAGAACUAGCCCAACAAUUCCAAAGAAAAAGAACAAACAAACAAAAAACAGAGGGGACAAAUAGGAAACAAAUAAUAAAAGUGCACCUAAAUCUAACCAUAUAAAUAAUUUCAUUAAAUGUUAAUGUUGGCUGGGCGCGGUGGCUCAUGCCUGUAAUCCCAGCACUUUGGGAGGCUGAAGCGGGCGGACCACGAGGUCAGGAGUUUGAGACCAGCCUGACCAACGUGGUGAAACCCCGUCUCUACUAAAAAUACAAAAAUUAGCUGGGCAUGGUGGCGUGUGCCUGUAAUCCCAGCUACUCAGGAGGCUGAGGCAGGAGAAU
rnacentral:lncRNA from 10 species